CAUUGAUGUGCGACAACGACCUUGUUUCUGUUCUGGACUGAUGAAUUUUCGCGCAUUAUAACGUGGUAAUCCACGAAUAUCCAAUUAUUAUUGAUUUUGAAUUGGUUU
ensembl:ncRNA R09F10.15 ncRNA